AGGUGAAGGACCAGCGAUCGGAAUUGAUCUCGGAACGACGUAUUCGUGUGUAGGUGUAUGGCAGCAUGAUCGAGUUGAGAUUAUUGCUAAUGAUCAAGGGAACAGGACUACGCCGUCGUAUGUGGCGUUUACUGAUACGGAGCGGUUGAUUGGAGAUGCUGCUAAGAAUCAAGUUGCUAUGAACCCUACCAACACUGUUUUCGACGCGAAGCGAUUAAUUGGUAGGAGAUUCAGUGACCCGUCAGUACAGAGUGACAUGAAGCUUUGGCCUUUCAAGGUCAUCCCGGGACCUGCUGACAAGCCUAUGAUUGUUGUCAAUUACAAAGGCGAAGAGAAACAGUUCUCUGCUGAAGAAAUCUCCUCUAUGGUUCUUAUUAAGAUGAAGGAGAUUGCUGAGGCU
rnacentral:misc_RNA from 1 species